rnacentral:rRNA from 2 species
GCAAGUCGAGCGGACUUGUUAGAAGCUUGCUUCUAACAAGUUAGCGGCGGACGGGUGAGUAACACGUGGGUAACCUGCCUGUAAGAUGGGGAUAACUCCGGGAAACCGGAGCUAAUACCGAAUAACACUUUCGCUCGCAUGAGCGGAUGUUAAAAGACGGUUUCGGCUGUCACUUACAGAUGGACCCGCGGCGCAUUAGCUAGUUGGUGAGGUAACGGCUCACCAAGGCGACGAUGCGUAGCCGACCUGAGAGGGUGAUCGGCCACACUGGGACUGAGACACGGCCCAGACUCCUACGGGAGGCAGCAGUAGGGAAUCUUCCGCAAUGGACGAAAGUCUGACGGAGCAACGCCGCGUGAGUGAUGAAGGUUUUCGGAUCGUAAAACUCUGUUGUUAGGGAAGAACAAGUAUGAGAGUAACUGCUCGUACCCUUGACGGUACCUAACCAGAAAGCCACGGCUAAACUACGUGCCAGCAGCCGCGGUAAUACGUAGGUGGCAAGCGUUGUCCGGAAUUAUUGGGCGUAAAGCGCGCGCAGGCGGUUCCUUAAGUCUGAUGUGAAAGCCCACGGCUCAACCGUGGAGGGUCAUUGGAAACUGGGGAACUUGAGUGCAGAAGAGGAAAGCGGAAUUCCACGUGUAGCGGUGAAAUGCGUAGAGAUGUGGAGGAACACCAGUGGCGAAGGCGGCUUUCUGGUCUGUAACUGACGCUGAGGCGCGAAAGCGUGGGGAGCAAACAGGAUUAGAUAC